UGGUGUUCCUGGCUGGAGGACAGAGUUACAGGACUGCAGACAGAGCAGUUGCUGAUAGGGACAGGUGGAGCUCUUGGCCCAGUUAGGGCAAAACCAUUGCCUCCGUGGCGGAAGUCCUGGGGGUAUGGCUUAAUACCAGGGCUGGGACUCUUUAAAGACUGCAGACUGAGACUUUACCAUUGAACUGUUUAUCCUGGAAGGAGUUUUGUUUUGUUGAAAGCCCACAGACUGUGUGUGAGACUUGGCUGGAGGGCUGAGUCACCAAAACUGCCUGAGAAACCACCGACAGGAGUUGCCACACCCGGCCAGGGGGUGCUCACAGCAAUCAUUCCUUGAAAGAAAUUCUGUGAUAUCAGAUUUUGCAUCUCUGCCAGGCAUGAUGACCGAAGAGAGAGAUUGCCUUGGCUGUGUUGGAUGAGACCGAAGAGCGCUGAAAUGGAUCUGGGUGUGAUUGGAAUGCCAAUUAUGUUUUUAUUGAAAAUCAGAUGCCAAAGAGAGCACAUAACUAGCCCCAAACUAGAACCUCUUAAUUAGCAUGGGAUUUGGGGAACAUUUAUGGGCCAAACAGACUAUGUGUGUGGAAAGAAAUAAAUCAAAUUGUACCAUGAACACAUGCAGCCCUUGGAUAUACAAAAUUCUCUUUUGGGUCUAAUGAAUAGAACCCCAGCCUUGAUCGACUGUAUGGAACGUUGCCAUAAGGCCAUAAAAAAAAACAGAAAAAACUCCUCAAUCGGUAACACAAAAGAGAUCUAUGAAGACCCUCUGCAAUCCCAGCACAAAACUAUGGUCAAAUCUAAAGCUCAGAUGACUCCUUCAAAGAAAAAAGGAAGUGCUGAGAUACCGGUAUCAAGCUGGGAGAAAAACAGAUCAUGCUUUGACAACGUGACCUCAGCUACAGUUAGGUUCACAAAUGUCCCUGUUAAACCAGCUUCACAGAGCCUUGGGCUGAAAGGACGAUCUGUUCUAUUAGCCGCCAGAGGGAGCCCAUGGCAUCACUUGAAUGUUGCAGAGUCCCAUUGACAAGAUCAUGUCAAUAUGAAGAAUUUCAGUGGAAUGGUUUCAGCAGAAGCAAAGACCUGGCUCCACAUGCCCACGAGCCUUGAUGAAAAUCCAGCUGAACUUACUUCAUUGUUUAUUGGUCCAUAAAAGGAGGAUAACUGAGAGAGAGAACAAAACUGAAAAUUGGUAUGGCGACCUGUCUCCUUCUGACCAUGGCCCUAUGUCUCCAGCGUGGGGCAGAAAUGGAGUCACUGAGUUUUCUCUUCCAAACUCAGCUACGUUUUAACGAGCUCCCUUCCAAGAUUCCUUGAAGUUUUCAAUAAGAUGUGAACUUCCACAUGAUGUCAUAUCAUAUAGAGAAUCCACCACAUCCUUAG